rnacentral:sRNA from 1 species
AAAUGUUGCAUAACUUCUUGUUCGACAUCUGUGGAUUGCAAGGAGGUUUCACAAUGGAGAAACGCGAGCAGCAGUAUAUCGAUUACGUCCGGCGUACGGUCGGACGUAAUAAGAUCGACUCGGACCGGACAUUAUCCGACAGUAGCCCCCCAGGUUAACCCGACACCAGCCACCACUAGCCACCACUAGCCCCCUCUCUUCAAAUCAUUCAAGUACUGGUAUCGUGGUGCAAUUUUUCCCAACAAACUUCCAUAAAGAUGAAGUGAGAAGAGUCUUAGGUCGCGAGUUGGGUCUGCCCGCAGAAUUACUGGAACGUCACCCGUUUCCUGGUCCCGGUUUGUCAAUUCGAAUCAUUUACGCCGGAGAACUGUUCAUGGAAGCUGAUUUCGGUGAGACGCAAGUCCUGAUUCGUUUGAUGGUUGAUUAUGCUAACAUGGCAGCCAAAGAUCAUGUCUUGCUCAAUCGGAUUGAAAUCGCCUCGUCGGAAGGAGGGCGUCUUAUUCUGGAAGAACUGUCCAGUAGCAACCAGUAUGUUGCCACGCUACUGCCUAUUUGCAUUGUCGGUGUUCAGGGAGCUUGCCGAACUUAUAGCUAUUGCGUAGCACUGAGAUCUGAUCAGACACAAACAAACUGGAAUGAUCUAGCCACCUACGCCCGCUUAAUACCGCGUACGUAUAAUAUACAUGCAUACUUGUCGGAAGUAAUGGGUCAAUUAGUUUUUCGUCGAACAAAUUAAGCAUUGUUAAUGUGCCGCUAGAUGUCGCCCAGUAACAAGCGGAAGCGAGGCGUUAUGCCAUUUCCUGAAAUUGAACAUUUAGAAAAUGUGGUAUAUGUUCGCAAAUUGCUACGAUCUAUUCAAAGUUGUACCAUAAAGUAUGACUAUAGGAAAGGGUACGUAGGCUUCUAAAAGUGAAGAACAGCUCUGACGUCUUUGGUAAGCGGAAAAUGUAUUGCAUAUUGAAGCGUCAGAUGACGGUUUUAAGAAUGGAUUCUUUCGUUUGCUUUGCCCAAUGAAUCUGUGCUUGGAACUGGCAGGUGGCGUUUAGCAGUGGCACUCAAUUUUUAUUCUUAAAACCCAGAGGUGUUCUUCACUUUUCAAGGGGACAGGGGGGGACUUUUCAAAACCAUGAAGAAUACCAAAUGAAAUUGUACUUUUAACUUUUAAAACACCGAAUAACUUUUAUUAACAACAGUUUACUUUUAUAACUAUCAAAGUCUUGUUAACCAUUUAAAGGAGAACAAAGCUAAUUGGUUAGAUUAUUGGAAUUUCAACUUCCGGUUUUACUUCCGGUUUUAAAAUACCAAAUAACUCCUUAUUUGUUAGUCUGUCAGAAAAAAUAUUUACAUUUUCGUGAUCCUCGUCAAAUUUGGGGUCGACUCCAUGUAUCAGCUGUUGUUCAUGAAAAAUCGCGAUUUUGAUCAAAUCCGACUUUUUGCUAAAACCACGUCAUUCCAACCCCAAAUUUGAUAAGGAUCACGAAAAUCCUACUCGUUUUGUUAUAGGAUUACUAUUUCCGGAAAUAUUGGCUACUUCCGGUUACUUCCGGAUAAUUUUCGUGACAAUUUCCAAAAAGUAAAAAAUGAACUGUAUUAUUCUAUCAAUUUUAAAUACUUUUCUCGGUAUUUUAUUAACUGUCCAGUAUUGCUAUCGUUGUCUGUGUAUUAGAAAAGGCAAUCUUUAAAAAGAUUGCUGUUUGUAGUAGGGUUUCACCUUGUCAGCUGUUUAUGACUGAAAAUUAUGACAUCAAUUUUCACUCAA